rnacentral:rRNA from 1 species
CUCUAUAUAAAUAAUAUAAAGUAGCGCCUGCUCAAUGCUUUAGUAAAUAGCCGCAGUAUUUUGACUGUGCUAAGGUAGCAUAAUCAUUAGUCUUUUAAUUGUAGACUGGUAUGAAUGGUGGGACGAGAAAACGACUGUUUUUAUUAAAUAACUUGAAGUUUAUUUUUAAGUGAAAAAGCUUAAAUGAAUUAAGAGGACGAUCAGACCCUAAGGAGCUUGUUUGUUGGGGCGACAAAAAGUUAAUAUAAAUCACUUUUUUAAUUGAACAUUUAUUUAUGAAGUAUUGAUCCCAUUUGUUGGAUUAGAAGACUAAGUUACCCUAGGGAUAACAGCGUAAUUUUUUUAGAGAGUUCUUAUCGAUAAAAGAGUUUGCGACCUCGAUGUUGGAUUAAGAAAUUACUAGGGUGAAGAAAUUUUAGUGGAAAGUCUGUUCGACUUUUAAAUUCUUACA